rnacentral:rRNA from 1 species
AUUGAACGCUGGCGGCAGGCCUAACACUUGCAAGUCGAGCGGAUGAAGGGAGCUUGCUCCUGGAUUCAGCGGCGGACGGGUGAGUAAUGCCUAGGAAUCUGCCUGGUAGUGGGGGAUAACGUCCGGAAACGGGCGCUAAUACCGCAUACGUCCUGAGGGAGAAAGUGGGGGAUCUUCGGACCUCACGCUAUCAGAUGAGCCUAGGUCGGAUUAGCUAGUUGGUGGGGUAAAGGCCUACCAAGGCGACGAUCCGUAACUGGUCUGAGAGGAUGACCAGUCACACUGGAACUGAGACACGGUCCAGACUCCUACGGGAGGCAGCAGUGGGGAAUAUUGGACAAUGGGCGAAAGCCUGAUCCAGCCAUGCCGCGUGUGUGAAGAAGGUCUUCGGAUUGUAAAGCACUUUAGGUUGGGAGGAAGGGCAGUGAGUUAAUACCUUGCUGUUUUGACGUUACCAACAGAAUAAGCACCGGCUAACUUCGUG